rnacentral:rRNA from 1 species
UCGAACGAUGAAGCCCUUCGGGGUGGAUUAGUGGCGAACGGGUGAGUAACACGUGGGCAAUCUGCCCUUCACUCUGGGACAAGCCCUGGAAACGGGGUCUAAUACCGGAUACCACUCCUGCCUGCAUGGGCGGGGGUUGAAAGCUCCGGCGGUGAAGGAUGAGCCCGCGGCCUAUCAGCUUGUUGGUGGGGUAAUGGCCCACCAAGGCGACGACGGGUAGCCGGCCUGAGAGGGCGACCGGCCACACUGGGACUGAGACACGGCCCAGACUCCUACGGGAGGCAGCAGUGGGGAAUAUUGCACAAUGGGCGAAAGCCUGAUGCAGCGACGCCGCGUGAGGGAUGACGGCCUUCGGGUUGUAAACCUCUUUCAGCAGGGAAGAAGCGAAAGUGACGGUACCUGCAGAAGAAGCGCCGGCUAACUACGUGCCAGCAGCCGCGGUAAUACGUAGGGCGCAAGCGUUGUCCGGAAUUAUUGGGCGUAAAGAGCUCGUAGGCGGCUUGUCACGUCGGAUGUGAAAGCCCGAAGGCUUAACCUUCGGGGUCUGCAUUCGAUACGGGCUAGCUAGAGUGUGGGUAGGGGAGAUCGGAAUUCUCUGGGUGUAGCGGUGGAAAUGCGCAGAUAUCAGGAGGAACACCGGUGGGCGAAGGCGGAUCUCUGGGCCAUUACUGACGCUGAGGAGCGAAAGCGUGGGGAGCGAACAGGAU